rnacentral:rRNA from 1 species
GAUGAACGCUGGCUACAGGCCUAACACAUGCAAGUCGAGGGGCAUCAUGGGCGCAGCAAUGCGCCUGAUGGCGACCGGCGCACGGGUGAGUAACGCGUAUCCAACCUGGCCGCGGGCGGGGCACAGCCUUGCGAAAGUAAGAUUAAUGCCCCAUGUUCUCCUUACGUGACAUCAUUUGAGGAGGAAAGGAGCGAUCCGCCGGCGGAUGGGGAUGCGUCUGAUUAGCCAGCUGGCGGGGCAACGGCCCACCAGGGCGACGAUCAGUAGGGGUUCUGAGAGGAAGGUCCCCCACAUUGGAACUGAGACACGGUCCAAACUCCUACGGGAGGCAGCAGUGAGGAAUAUUGGUCAAUGGGCGGAAGCCUGAACCAGCCAAGUAGCGUGCAGGACGACGGCCCUAUGGGUUGUAAACUGCUUUUGAAGGGGAAUAAAGUGCGCCCUGCGGGGAGCAUUGCAGGUACCCUUGGAAUAAGGACCGGCUAAUUCCGUG